rnacentral:rRNA from 1 species
AAUCAAGCGUUUAAGAGCAUUUGAUGGAUGCCUUGGCACACAAAGGCGAUGAAGGACGUAGUACGUUGCGAUAAGCUUCGGGGAGUGACGAACACACUUUGAUCCGAAGAUUUCCGAAUGGGGAAACCCAACUCUUUUGAGUUAUUGCUAACUGAAUACAUAGGUUAGUAAAGCGAACCCAGUGAACUGAAACAUCUAAGUAACUGGAGGAAAGGAUAUCAACCGAUACUCCGUAAGUAGUGGCGAGCGAAAGCGGACUAGGCCAGUAGCAUUAAUUGUACAACCAGAAUUACCUGGAAAGGUAAACCAUAGAGAGUGAUAGUCUCGUAUGGGUAAUGACAGUUAAUGUUCUCGAGUAAGACGGGACACGUGAAAUCUUGUCUGAAUAUGGGGGGACCACCCUCCAAGCCUAAGUACUCUUGUGUGACCGAUAGUGAACUAGUACCGUGAGGGAAAGGUGAAAAGAACCCCGACGAGGGGAGUGAAAUAGAUCCUGAAAUUGAAUGC